rnacentral:rRNA from 1 species
ACKGCUCAGUAACACGUAGUUAAUCUACCCUUAGGAUGGAGAUAACCCUGGGAAACUGGGACUAAUAUCCGAUAGAUGAAGAUGUCUGGAAUGGCUUUUCAUCUAAAGGUUUCUAGGAACAUGCUUCUAGGAAUGCCUAAGGAUGAGACUGCGUCCGAUCAGGCUGUUGGUGGGGUAACGGCCUACCAAACCUAUAACCGGUACGGGCCCUGAAGGGGGAAGCCCGGAGAUGGGAACUGAGACAAGGUCCCAGGUCCUACGGGGCGCAGCAGGCGCGAAACCUCCACAAUGCGCGAAAGCGUGAUGGGGUUACCCCGAGUGUUAUCCGUGAGGAUAGCUUUUCCCCAGUGUAAGGAGCUGGGGGAAUAAAGGGGGGGCAAGUCUGGUGUCAGCCGCCGCGGUAAUACCAGCCCCCUGAGUGAUAGGGACGACUAUUUAGCCUAAAGCGUCCGUAGCCGGCUUAGCAAGUCUUUCGUUAAAUCUGACGACUUAAUCGCCAGGCCGCGGAAGAUACUACUAGGCUUGAGGGCGGGAGAGGUUGACGGUAGUCCUAGGGUAGGGGUGAAAUCCUAUAAUCCUAGGAGGACCACCAGUGGCGAAGGCGGUCAACUAGAACGCGCCUGACGGUGAGGGACGAAAGCUGGGGGAGCGAACCGGAUUAGACACCCGGGUAGUCCCAGCUGUAAACGAUGCGGGCUAGGUGUUGGAGCAGCUACGAGCUGUUCCAGUGCCGCAGAGAAGUUGUUAAGCCCGCCGCUUGGGAAGUACGGCCGCAAGGCUGAAACUUAAAGGAAUUGGCGGGGGAGCAC